CCCGCCUCGAAGCGCUAAUCGCGUGUGCUUUCAUCCCAAGAAGCACGAACGACGAGUGCGUAUUUUUGGACGUUGAGUAUUCCCAGGUGAUGUUUGCAGCCUCACUGUGCUACCAUUAAGAAAAAGAAAAGGCUUCCUUUAUUUCAAGAGAAGCGUCAGCAUAAUGAAGGACAUCGCAGCACUCAUCUUAUUUACGUUAAUUCACAUGGUAGCGGCAAAGUCAUUAAAAGUCAGGCCGGAGAAAG